GAGGGGGAGAAAGAAAAGGUAUCACAGGGUGCCUAUAUAUGGAAAUAUGAUUAGGCUUUCUCAAUUUCGACUUCUCUUCGAUUAAUGAUAAAUAUCAAAUAAAUUGAUAAUGUUUGAGGUUUAGUUUUUGAAUAAAUACUCUACAAGAAAACAUGAAUUUGAUUUUGAAGUUUGCAUUGGUUUUUAUUACAUCUGUUUAAUUAACUAAAAGAAUAUUGUAAGAAAGAUUUGGCAUUUCUUGCUCUAGUGAUAAUGAUGGGGAAAAUCGCAUUUUAAACCCUGAGAGUGUCACAUUCUCGCACUUUAAACACUGAACGUUUUUGACUAUCACUUUAAAUCUUGAAAGUGACAUUUUUAUCAUAACAAACCUCCAA
rnacentral:lncRNA from 1 species